rnacentral:rRNA from 1 species
AACGAACGCUGGCGGCAGGCCUAACACAUGCAAGUCGAACGAGAUCUUCGGAUCUAGUGGCGCACGGGUGCGUAACGCGUGGGAAUCUGCCCUUGGGUUCGGAAUAACUUCUGGAAACGGAAGCUAAUACCGGAUGAUGACGUAAGUCCAAAGAUUUAUCGCCCAAGGAUGAGCCCGCGUAGGAUUAGCUAGUUGGUGAGGUAAAGGCUCACCAAGGCGACGAUCCUUAGCUGGUCUGAGAGGAUGAUCAGCCACACUGGGACUGAGACACGGCCCAGACUCCUACGGGAGGCAGCAGUAGGGAAUAUUGGACAAUGGGCGAAAGCCUGAUCCAGCAAUGCCGCGUGAGUGAUGAAGGCCUUAGGGUUGUAAAGCUCUUUUACCCGGGAUGAUAAUGACAGUACCGGGAGAAUAAGCUCCGGCUAACUCCGUGCCAGCAGCCGCCGUAAGAC